UGAUUCAUUGGAUCCUCUCUUUUUAUUGUGACUUUCGGAGCUUUAGAUGGCCACACUGUUCUCGACGUUCUUUGGAUCCAGCUGGCGCGGGAUCUCCUCGGUGAAAUGGUCCUCUGGAUAGUGUCCGAGGGGGACCUGUUGACACAGAGAAUAUACAGAUGAGCUGUUGGAUACUGUGGAAAAGUGGCCUGAAGACCUAACCUAGCAGCAGGCACAGCAUGGAGAAACGGAGACUUAUCACUGCAGCGGAGGAGUUUGCUGGCAGUUCGACCUGCCGAAUCCU